rnacentral:rRNA from 1 species
GAUGAACGCUAGCGGCAGGCCUAACACAUGCAAGUCGAGGGGCAGCACAUAAAGUGGUUUACUACUUUUGGUGGCGACCGGCGGACGGGUGCGUAACGCGUAUGCAACCUGCCUCCAACAGGGGGAUAACGGAGAGAAAUUUCCACUAAUACCCCAUAAUAUCAGAAUCGGCAUGGGUUUUGGUUGAAAACUCCGGUGGUUGGAGAUGGGCAUGCGUUGUAUUAGAUAGUUGGUGAGGUAACGGCUCACCAAGUCAACGAUACAUAGGGGGACUGAGGGGUUAGCCCCCCACACAGGUACUGAGACACGGACCAGACUCCGACGGGAGGCAGCAGUGAGGAAGAUUGGUCAAUGGGCGCAACCCUGAACCAGCCAUGCCGCGUGCAGGAAGACGGCUCUAUGAGUUGUAAACUGCUUUUACAAGGGGAUAAAUCGGUGUACGUGUACACCGUUGAAGGUACCUUGGGAAUAAGGAUCGGCUAACUCCGUGCCAGCCGCCGCAGUAA